rnacentral:rRNA from 1 species
UUCGCCCUUAACGCGAAGAACCUUACCAGGGCUUGACAUCCCUCUGACCGGGUGGUAACGCACCCUUUCCUUCGGGACAGAGGAGACAGGUGGUGCAUGGUUGUCGUCAGCUCGUGUCGUGAGAUGUUGGGUUAAGUCCCGCAACGAGCGCAACCCUUGUCAUUAGUUGCCAGCAGUUCGGCUGGGCACUCUAGUGAGACUGCCGGGGAUAACUCGGAGGAAGGUGGGGAUGACGUCAAAUCAUCAUGCCCCUUAUGUUCUGGGCUACACACGUGCUACAAUGGCUGGUACAAAGAGAAGCGAGAUCGCGAGGUGGAGCAAAUCUCAAAAACCAGUCCCAGUUCGGAUUGUAGGCUGCAACUCGCCUACAUGAAGUUGGAGUUGCUAGUAAUCGCGAAUCAGAAUGUCGCGGUGAAUGCG